UACGUAGGGUGCAAGCGUUAAUCGGAAUUACUGGGCGUAAAGCGUGCGCAGGCGGUUUUGUAAGCCAGAUGUGAAAGCCCCGGGCUUAACCUGGGAAUGGCAUUUGGGACUGCAAGGCUUGAGUGCGGCAGAGGAGACUGGAAUUCCUGGUGUAGCAGUGAAAUGCGUAGAUAUCAGGAGGAACACCGGUGGCGAAGGCGGCAUCCUGGACCGGCAUUGACGCUGAGGCGCGAAAGCCAGGGGAGCAAACGGG
rnacentral:rRNA from 1 species